rnacentral:tRNA from 1 species
UAGCGCGUCUGACUCCAGAUCAGAAGGCUGGGGGUUCGAAUCCCUC